AGGUAUAUGAAGAAGACCUGGUGAAGUGAAACAUCUCAGUAACCAGAGGAAAAGAAAGAAAAUAAUGCCACUUUUUUUCUUCGCACUAAUCUUUUCCGAUUUUAAUCGGAUUUGAUUAGUGUGAAAGACUUAGUGGUUUCGAUUCCCUUAGUAGUGGCGAGCGAAAGGGGAAUAUAGCCCAAACCUAUAUCAUGUUGUAUAAUGAAUUAAUUUCUCUUCGGAGUUUUUCUGACAUUAUGCUUAAAGGACAGGCCGUUGUGAUAUAGGUGUAAUAGGAUACAAUGUUGACUACCUGUGAUGUCAGUCAUUGUACAGUUAUUGCAUAGCUGAAGACUCCUGGAAAGGAGCGCCAAAGAAGGUGAUAGCCCUGUAAGUAAAAUGUUUACUGUAUGUGAUAUUUGUAUUCCUGAGUAUGGCGGAACACGUGAAAUUCCGUCGGAAUUUGGGUCGACUAUGACCUAAGGCUAAAUACUAACAGUGAUCGAUAGUGAACUAGUACCGUGAGGGAAAGGUGAAAAGCAGCCCGGAGAGGGCGAUGAAAUAGUAUCUGAAACCGUGCGUUUACAAAAAGCUGGAGCCCGUCUUCGCUUUUUACUUCGUAAAAAGCUGUAAUAAACAAAGUCUGCAAGUUUUUAUUUAAAAAAUUUGUUUAAUAAAGAAUUUGUUUUAUUAUAGCUCUGACGGAGUACAGAGCGAAGAUGGGCGACAGUAUUCCUAUUGAAGAAUGAGCCUGUGAGUAUGUGUAUGUUGCAAGCUUAAGGACUUAUGGUCCGAAGGCGUAGGGAAACCGAGUCUUAACCGGCGAUUAAGUAGCAUAUACAUAACCCGAAACUAGGUGAGCAAUCCAUGACCAGGUUGAAUCCCGACUAAUCUUGGGAAGAGGACCGAACCCACGUAUUGUGCAACAUACGGGGAUGAGUUGUGGAUAGCGGAGAAAUUCUAAUCGAACCUAGUAAUAGCUGGUUCUCCCCGAAAUAGUUUUAGGACUAGCUGUGUAUGUUUCCCAUGGUGGUAGAGCACUGGAAGAGAGUGGGGUCCGCAAGGAUACCCCUUUCUAUCAAACUCCGAAUACCAUGGAUUAAAAGUACGCAAGUCAGACUGUGGGGGCUAAGCUUCAUAGUCAAAAGGGAAACAGCCCAGAUCACAAACUAAGGUCCCUAAAUUAAUACUAAGUGUUAAAGGUGGUGUUAAUUCUCAUACAACCAGGAUGUUGGCUUAGAAGCAGCCAUCAUUUAAAGAAAGCGUAAUAGCUCACUGGUCAAGAGUUUUCGCGCUGAAAAUUUACCGGGGCUAAGUAUUAUACCGAAGUUGUGAAUUAUCUUGACAUUUUGUUAAGAUAGUGGUAGAGGAGCGUUCUGAAUGCACUGAAGCCGGAUCUGUGAGGACCGGUGGAGCGUUCAGAAGUGAGAAUGCAGGCACAAGUAGCAAAAAUCCCGAUGAAAGUUCGGGAUGCCGAAAACCCAAGGUUUCCAGGGCAACGAGAAUCGUCCCUGGGUUAGUCGAUCCUAAGGCCAGGCCGAAAGGCGUAACCGAUGGAAGAGCAGAUUAAUAUUUCUGCACUUGUUAUUGUUUGUUAUUAUAUGCACAUCAUAAUGAUUCGAGCGUUCUUUGGCUAUGGACGUUUCGCAAGAUGAAGAUAGAGCCCUCGGGUAAUGUCAAUUCGAGUUUAAGUGGUGUCUAGAAAAGUAUAAUAACGUUAGGCAAUAGCAAAUCGUACCACAAACCGACUCAGGUGGGUAGGUCGAGAAGACUAAGGCGCACGAGAGAAACAUGGUUAAGGAACUCGGCAAACUAGCGACCGUAACUUCGGGAUAAGGUCUGCCCUAUUUAUUUAGGCCGCAGCUAAAGACUCCAUGCAACUGUUUACCAAAAACACAGCUCCCUGCAAAAGCGUAAGCUGAAGUAUAGGGGGCGAUGCCUGGCCAGUGUCAGAACGUUAAGGGGAGAGGUUAUCCUUCGGGAGAAGCUUUGAUCUGAAGCGCUGAUGAACGCCGGCGGUAACUAUAACCGUCCUAAGGUAGCGAAAUUCCUUGUCGGGUAAGUUCCGACCCGCACGAAUGGCAUAAUGAUGUGGAGACUGUCUUAACCAUGUACUCGGCGAAAAUUCAGGUGUCGUGAAGAUGCGACAUACCUGCAGUUAGACGAAAAGACCCCAUGAAGCUUUACUAUAACUUGAUAUUGGUAUAUUGCUUCACAUGUUCAGCAUAGGUGGGAGCCGAAAGGCGUCAGUGAGAUACCACCCUUGUGUUGUGAUGUACCUAAUCUCCCGACUUGAAUCAGCCGGGGGAGACAGUGUCUGGUGGGUAGUUUAACUGGGGCGGUUGCCUCCCAAACAAUAACGGAGGCGUUUACAAAGGUUGGCUUAGUCCGGAUGGAAAUCGGACUGGACGUGCAAACGCAUAAGCCAGCUUUACUGCGAGGGCUACCACCCGAGCAGUCACGAAAGUGGAAGUUAGUGAUCCGACCGUACGAUAUAGGACGGCGGAAGCUCAACGGAUAAAAGUUACUCUGGGGAUAACAGGCUGAUCGCGCCCAAGCGUCCACAGCGACGGCGCGGUUUGGCACCUCGAUGUCGGCUCAUCGCAUCCUGGGGGUGGAGAAGCUCCCAAGGGUUAGGCUGUUCGCCUAUUAAAGCGGUACGCGAGCUGGGUUCAGAACGUCGUGAGACAGUUCGGUCUCCUAUCUACUGUAGGCUUCGAAUACUGAAGGAACCCAUCCCUAGUACGAGAGGAUCGGGAUGGACGAACCUCUGGUGUAUGAGCUGUUCUGCCAAGAGCACUGCUCAGUAGCUAAGUUCGGCACGGAUAAGCGCUGAAAGCAUCUAAGCGCGAAGCCGUUCCUAAGAUUGGUGUUCAUUUGAGACUCCUUCGAGACGAGGAGGUUGAUAGGCACUAGAUGUAAGGCUAGUAAUAGUUUUAGUCAAGGUGUACUAAUAAGUCGAGUGUACUACGA
rnacentral:rRNA from 1 species